AACGAACCCUGGCGGCAGGCUUAACACAUGCAAGUCGAGCGCCUCGCAAGAGGAGCGGCAGACGGGUGAGCAACGCGUGGGAAUCUACCGUGCCCUAAGGAAUAGCUCCGGGAAACUGGAAUUAAUACCUUAUACGCCCUUCGGGGGAAAGAUUUAUCGGGUAUGAUGAGCCCGCGUUGGAUUAGCUAGUUGGUGGGGUA
rnacentral:rRNA from 1 species